GUUUCCCUUCACUGUUUUCUACCACCACGCUGUAAUUGCCCUCAUCGGAAGCCUGGACUGAAGAGAUCUCAAAGAUGCAGAGUGUUCAUAUGAGGAGAGACUUUCCCUUGUCUCCGUCAUCUGUGAUUUCACUUCCCUGACAGAAGACGAAGCUUCCAUCUCAGAUGUUUUCUUAAAUGAUGAAACAGCAUACGCCUCUGUUCUUGUCAGCUCAGGGAAAACAGAUCUGGGGACCUCUUCAUCUCUGCGUUGGGAAGCAUAGGUGGUAUAAUCCCCUCCUGUCACGUCCAACGUUGCAUAGUCAGAAGCUUCGCCCUUGUAGUUGG
rnacentral:lncRNA from 1 species